AUUUUAAUAUUUUAUAUUUAAUUUAUUAAUUUUAUAUUUAUGUAUUGUUUAUAGAAAUAACUUUAUUUUUAGUAAUUUUUAAUGAAUAUAAUAAAUUAAAAAUUUAUAGCUUAUAUUACUGUAAAGGUUUAUUUUUAAAAUAUAAUAAAAGUAGACUUUAAUUGUUGUACCUUUUGUAUCAGGGUUUAUUAAUUUAUUAUUAAUUAUACUUAAUUUUCCCGAAUUUAAUAGAGAUAUCAAUUAUUGUUAUUUAAUGUUUCAAAAUUAUUAAUAAAUUAUUGAUAGGGGUUAUAUGCUAUUCAAUAUUAAAUAUCUGGUUUUCUGAUAAUUGAAUUUAAUUCAGAAUUGACAAAUUUUUAUUAUAUAACUUUAUUUUUAAUAAUUUAGUCAAUUUAAAUUAUUAGGGGAUAAGCUCUAAUAAUUUAUUUAUAAUUAAUAUUAAGAAUUAAAUUAAGUAGGAUUAGAAAUUUCCAUCAUUUAUUUUGUUAUAAUUAAUUUUAAUUAAUUAUUUAUUUAUAUUAAUUUAAAUAUUUAUCAGAAAUUAUUAAUUAAUUAUUAAUUAAUAGAUAUAAUGAUAGAAUUAGUAUAUUAUUUUAAUUAAUAUAUAGUAAUUCGGCAAAUUUAUUCUUCACCUGUUUAACAAAAACAUGUCUUGAUGUUUAAUUUUAUAUUAAGUCUGACCUGCUCAAUGAUUGUAAAAUUAAAUAGCCGCAGUAUUUUGACUGUGCGAAGGUAGCAUAAUCAUUUGUCUUUUAAUUGAAGGCUUGUAUGAAUGGUUGGAUGAGGGAAUUGCUUUCUUUAUAUUAAUUGUUGAACUUAAUUUUUAAGUUAAAAAGCUUAAAUAUUUAAAUGGGACGAGAAGACCCUAUAGAAUUUAACUUUUAUUUAUUAAUAAUAUUUGUUUUGGUAAAUAAUUUAUUUUAUUAAUGUGAAAGUUUUGUUGGGGUGACAGUGGGAUUUUUAUAACUCCCAUAAUUAAUAUUGUAUUUAUAUGUAUAUUUAAGAUCCUAUUUUAAGGAUAUUUAGAUUAAAUUACCUUAGGGAUAACAGCGUUAUUUUUCUGGAGAGUUCUUAUCGAUAGAAGAGUUUGCGACCUCGAUGUUGGAUUAAAAUUAGAUUUAAGUGUAGAAGCUUAAUUUCUAGGUCUGUUCGACCUUUAAAAUUUUACAUGAUCUGAGUUCAGACCGGCGUAAGCCAGGUCGGUUUCUAUCUUUUUUUAAUGUAAUAUAAAUUAGUACGAAAGGACCAUUUAUAUCAAAUAAUUUGUUUUAAUGAAUAUCUUUA
rnacentral:rRNA from 1 species